rnacentral:rRNA from 1 species
AGAGUUUGAUCCUGGCUCAGAGCGAACGCUGGCGGCGUGCUUAACACAUGCAAGUCGAGUGCGCGUCUGUAGCAAUACAGAUGGCGCACGGCGCACGGGUGCGUAACACGUGGGUAAUCUGCCCUUCGAUGGGGAAUAACUCCGGGAAACCGAAGCUAAUUCCGCAUAACAUUCCUUGAACUUCGGUUUGGGGAUUCAAAGCCGUAAGGCGUCGGAGGAGGAACCCGCGCACGAUUAGCUAGUUGGUAGGGUAACGGCCUACCAAGGCUUUGAUCGUUAGCUGGUCUGAGAGGAUGGCCAGCCACACUGGAACUGAGACACGGUCCAGACUCCUACGGGAGGCAGCAGUGGGGAAUCUUGCACAAUGGGCGAAAGCCUGAUGCAGCGACGCCGCGUGGGGGAUGAAGCUUUUCGGAGUGUAAACCCCUUUCGACCCGGACGAAUACCUCGCAAGAGGGGUGACGGUACGGGUAUAAGAAGCCCCGGCUAACUACGUGCCAGCAGCCGCGGUAAGACGUGGGGGGCCAGCGUUGCUCGGAAUUACUGGGUGUAAAGGGUUCGUAGGCGGUGUAGCAAGUCGGGAGUGAAAUCUCUGGGCUCAACCCAGAGACUGCUUCCGAAACUGCUGUGCUUGAGUGUGGGAGAGGCGCGUGGAAUUGCAGGUGUAGCGGUGAAAUGCGUAGAUAUCUGCAGGAACACCCGUGGCGAAAGCGGCGCGCUGGACCACUACUGACGCUGAGGAACGAAAGCUA